rnacentral:rRNA from 1 species
UGAAGGUCCUCUGGAUUGUAAACUUCUUUUAUAUGGGACGAAAAAGGGCUUUCUAAGUCAACUGACGGUACCAUAUGAAUAAGCACCGGCUAACUCCGUGCCAGCAGCCGCGGUAAUACGGAGGGUGCAAGCGUUAUCCGGAUUCACUGGGUUUAAAGGGUGCGUAGGUGGGUUGGUAAGUCAGUGGUGAAAUCCCCGAGCUUAACUCGGGAACUGCCAUUGAUACUAUCAGUCUUGAAUACCGUGGAGGUCAGCGGAAUAUGUCAUGUAGCGGUGAAAUGCUUAGAUAUGACAUAGAACACCAAUUGCGAAGGCAGCUGGCUACACGAUUAUUGACACUGAGGCACGAAAGCGUGGGGAUCAAACAGGAUUAGAUACCCUGGUAGUCCACGCCCUAAACUAUGGAUACUCGACAUACGCGAUACACUGUGUGUGUCUGAGCGAAAGCAUUAAGUAUCCCACCUGGGAAGUACGAUCGCAAGAUUG